GAUGAACGCUGGCGGCGUGCCUAAUACAUGCAAGUCGAGCGAACAGACGAGGAGCUUGCUCCUCUGACGUUAGCGGCGGACGGGUGAGUAACACGUGGAUAACCUACCUAUAAGACUGGGAUAACUUCGGGAAACCGGAGCUAAUACCGGAUAAUAUAUUGAACCGCAUGGUUCAAUAGUGAAAGACGGUUUUGCUGUCACUUAUAGAUGGAUCCGCGCCGCAUUAGCUAGUUGGUAAGGUAACGGCUUACCAAGGCGACGAUGCGUAGCCGACCUGAGAGGGUGAUCGGCCACACUGGAACUGAGACACGGUCCAGACUCCUACGGGAGGCAGCAGUAGGGAAUCUUCCGCAAAGGGCGAAAGCUUGACGGAGCAACGCCGCGUGAGUGAUGAAGGUCUUCGGAUCGUAAAACUCUGUUAUUAGGGAAGAACAAACGUGUAAGUAACUAUGCACGUCUUGACGGUACCUAAUCAGAAAGCCACGGCUAACUACGUG
rnacentral:rRNA from 1 species